CCCUUAGAUGUUCUGGGCCGCACGCGUGCUACACUGAGUGGAUCAGCGGGUCAGGUUGCGCGAAAGUGUUUCCUAAUCUUUAAAUCCGCUCGUGAUGGGGAUUGACGGUUGCAAUUUUCCGUCAUGAACGAGGAAUACCUUGUAAGCGCGGGUCAUCAUCCCGCGCUGAAUACGUCCCUGCCCUUUGUACACACCGCCCGUCGCUCCUACCGAUUGAGUGGUCCGGUGAGGCUUUGGGAUCUGGGCGGAAAGAGCGUUUCGCUGUUUCUGCCCGGAAAACUCAGGCGAACCUUAUCAUUUAGAGGAAGGAGAAGUCGUAACA
rnacentral:rRNA from 1 species